UAGGGAAUAUUGCACAAUGGGCGAAAGCCUGAUGCAGCAACGCCGCGUGUGCGAUGAAGGCCUUCGGGUUGUAAAGCACUUUUGAUCGGGAAGAGGAAGGACGGUACCGGUCGAAUAAGCCUCGGCUAACUACGUGCCAGCAGCCGCGGUAAAACGUAGGAGGCGAGCGUUAUCCGGAUUUACUGGGUGUAAAGCGCGUGCAGGCGGUAGGCUAAGUUGGGUGUGAAAGCUCCUGGCUCAACUGGGAGAGGUCGCUCAAGACUGGCCAACUGGAGAGCAGUAAGGGAAGGUGGAAUUCCGGGUGUAGUGGUGAAAUGCGUAGAUAUCCGGAGGAACACCAGUGGCGAAAGCGGCCUUCUGGACUGCAUCUGACGCUCAGACGCGAAAGCUAGGGGAGCAAACGG
rnacentral:rRNA from 1 species